rnacentral:rRNA from 1 species
ACGGAAGGCAGCAGUGAGGAAUAUUGGUCAAUGGGCGGAAGCCUGAACCAGCCAAGUCGCGUGAGGGAAGAAGGUCUUACGGAUUGUAAACCUCUUUAGCCGGGGAGCAAUAAGCGCUAUGUAUAGCGUGAUGAGAGUACCCGGAGAAUAAGGAUCGGCUAACUCCGUGCCAGCAGCCGCGGUAAUACGGAGGAUCCGAGCGUUAUCCGGAUUUAUUGGGUUUAAAGGGUGCGCAGGCGGUCGAAUAAGUCAGUGGUCAAAUCGUGAGGCUCAACCUCAUCCCGCCAUUGAUACUGGUUGACUUGAUUCCGGUCGAGGCAGGCGGAAUUCGUAGUGUAGCGGUGAAAUGCAUAGAUAUUACGAAGAACUCCGAUUGCGUAGGCAGCUUACCAGGCCGGCAAUGACGCUCAUGCACGAAAGUGCGGGGAUCGAACAGGAUUAGAUACCCUGGUA